rnacentral:rRNA from 1 species
GGACCCGCACAAGCGGUGGAGCAUGUGGUUUAAUUCGAAGCAACGCGAAGAACCUUACCUAAACUUGACAUCCUCUUGACCGGACCUUAAUCGGUCCUUCUAAGGCUUGCCUUAGCAAGAGAGACAGGUGGUGCAUGGUUGUCGUCAGCUCGUGUCGUGAGAUGUUGGGUUAAGUCCCGCAACGAGCGCAACCCUUAUCUUUAGUAGCCAUCAUUCAGUUGGGCACUCUAGAGAGACUGCCAGGGAUAACCUGGAGGAAGGUGGGGAUGACGUCAAAUCAUCAUGCCCCUUAUGUUUAGGGCUACACACGUGCUACAAUGGCUGCUACAAAGGGAAGCGAUCUAGUGAUAGUCAGCAAACCUCAAAAAAGCAGUCCCAGUUCGGAUUGUAGUCUGCAACUCGACUACAUGAAGUUGGAAUCGCUAGUAAUCGCGAAUCAGAAUGUCGCGGUGAAUACGUUCCCGGGUCUU